AAUAAAAUAUUAUUGUUGUUGUUAUUAUUCUACAUAAUGAAUUAAACAAUUAUAAAAAAUAAUAAUUUAUAAUAAUAUAUUAAUUUUUUGUUAAAAAAUAAUCGUAUUAACAAUAAUUAGAAUAUCAUUUAUUAUUAUUAUUAUUGAUUAAUUUUAUUAUCAUAAAUAUAAAAUUUGUAUGGUCCAAAAUCAACAAAUGGCAACUUCUCCAGCAAAUUGCCAUCACAAUAAUAAUAAUAAUAAAUAAUUUAUUUUAUUAUUAUUAUUUUUUUCUCUUUUGUUUUUUAUAUUAUUUUAUCUCUCUUUUGUUUUUUUCUUCUUUUAUCUUCUUCUUCGUCUCUUUUUUCUUUCUCUCUCUUCUGCAACUUCUUCGUUACUUCUCUCCAUCGUCAAUUUCAUCUUCUUCAUCAACAACAUCAUCAUCACAAUUAGAUGAUCAACAUCAUCAACAUCAUCAACAACAACAUCAUGAACAUCAUCAUCAACCACAUCAACAGAAUCCGAGAGAAACCGAUCAGCAACCGACGACGAAUCGGACUGGUGAGCGACGUGAGAGAACCGGGCUGACGAAUCCGAGAGAAACCGAGCAGAAGUGGUUGGUCGGUGACAAGCUGAUGAUUCCGGCCAGUGAGCUAACGGGAAAGAAGAAAACGAGUGAUGAAUCAGGCCAGUAAGAUGAUGAAUCCGGCCAGAGAGUGAGGAAUCCGUCCGGUGAGGCGGUGACUGAUGCGCGAGAGAGAGGGAGUGCCGACGACGCGAUGAAAGCAGGGGAGGGAGAUGUGAUGGAAGCUUCUGGUUUGUGCGAGAGAGAGAGUCUUUAGGUUUUUAGGGAUUUUUUUUUUAAAUUUUUCGCUAUUUGUAUUUUUAUCUGAAGUGAGGGUAUUUUUUAAAUAAUAAAACAUUCAUGGGUAGAAUGUGAAAUCUCGGGAACAUAGUUUGAUUCCUAAGUUUUCAUUUUUUGUUCCCGAAUUAUUAUGGAACUCACAAAAUUAAUUCUCAUUCUCCUCCUUAUUUUAUUAAGAAAUUAUUCCAAUUCUGAAUUCCCAUUCCUAAGUAAACGCAGCCUAAUAAUAACCUUUAAUAGAACGUUCAAAUGAAAAGACUAGCCAGGCCCUGAGAAUUGACAUCAAUCGAUUAUCCCUUCCAUGUUAGAGAUAUAUGAUAUUUGUUUUGUCUUUUUUUUUUUAAUUCAUAUAUCGUUCAAAAGUCAAAAUUUGCGAUUUGUUUAUUUAAAUUGGUUGAAAAAGAAGAUGUGAGCCA
rnacentral:lncRNA from 1 species